rnacentral:rRNA from 1 species
AAAAACAUGUCCUUUUGAUUUUAAUUUAAGGUCUAACCUGCUCAAUGAAUUUAUUAAAUAGCCGCAGUAUUUUAACUGUGCAAAGGUAGCAUAAUCAUUAGUUUUUUAAUUGAAAGCUGGAAUGAAGGGUUGAAUGAAAAAAUAUCUGUCUCUAUAAAAAUUUUAUAGAAUUUUAUUUUUAAGUAAAAAAGCUUAAAUUUUAAUAAAAGACGAGAAGACCCUAUAGAGUUUUAUAUUUAAAUAUAAUAUUUUUUUUAGUAUUUUAAAAUUUAUUUUUUUUAAGUAUUUAAUUGGGGUGAUUGGAAAAUUAAAUAAACUUUUCUUUUAAUUUAACAUUUAUAUGUGAAAUUAUGAUCCUUAAGUAAAGAUUAAAAGAUAAAAUUACCUUAGGGAUAACAGCGUAAUUUUUUUUGAGAGUUCUUAUCGAAAAAAAAGAUUGCGACCUCGAUGUUGGAUUAAAAUAAAUUUUUGGUGUAGAAGCUAAAUAAAUUAGGUCUGUUCGACCUUUAAAAUUUUACUUGAUCUGAGUU